CCUACGGGAGGCAGCAGUGGGGAAUAUUGGGCAAUGGGCGCAAGCCUGACCCAGCAAAGCCGCGUGAAGGAAGAAGGCUUUAGGGUUGUAAACUUCUUUUAAGAGGGGAGAGCAGAAGACGGUACCUCUUGAAUAAGACACGUCUAACUACGUGCCAGCCGCCGCGGUAAUACGUAGGUGGCAAGCGUUGUCCGGAUUUACUGGGUGUAAAGGGAGUGUAGCCGGGCUGACAAGUCAGAGGUGAAAUUACGGGGCGCAACCCCGGACCUGCAUUUGAAACUUUUGGUUUUGAGUCUCGGAGAGGCCGGCGGAAUUCCUAGUGUAGCGGUGAAAUGCGUAGAUAUUAGGAGGAACACCAGUGGCGAAGGCGGCCUGCUGGACGACAACUGACGGUGAGGCGCGAAAGCGUGGGGAGCAAACAGGAUUAGAUACCCGGGUAGUC
rnacentral:rRNA from 1 species